UACUCGAGUGCGCGGCGAAGGCAGAGUG
rnacentral:sRNA from 1 species